GACAGAGGGUGCAAACGUUGCUCGGAAUCACUGGGCGUAAAGGGCGUGUAGGCGGGUAGAUAAGUCGGGCGUGAAAUCCCUAGGCUCAACCUAGGAACUGCACUCGAAACUGUUUAUCUUGAGUGCCGGAGAGGAAAGCGGAAUUCCUGGUGUAGAGGUGAAAUUCGUAGAUAUCAGGAGGAACGACCAGUGGCGGAAAGGCGGCUUUCGUGGA
rnacentral:rRNA from 1 species